rnacentral:snoRNA from 1 species
ACCCCAUGAUAUAAGCCGGCAGAAAAAAUACUCCCUAGUUUUUUCUGUGACUAUGAUUGGGAACAUAGACUUUUUUCCGAUGUGUGUAUAUUUCGAGGCGUCUUACCUGCUUCAAAAUAAAGAUUUAUUCAGAAUACA